GGAGGCCAGCGAGCGGUUUGCUCUCGGGGCGGCAGAGGAGGAGAUCGCUGGGGGUCUGAGAGGACAUCCGAGCAGGAGGGACAGGGACGCAUGCUGUGCCCCAGGCCCAUUUCCUGAUCAUGACCAUGGAUUUGUGGCUGAAGCUCCUGGCCGUGGGCUGUGUCUUCCUGGACGCCGGGGUGUUCGGGCAAGGAAGCAGCCCACGUCCUCCUACAACUGCUCCUACUACAACUAAGCAGCCUUGUG